GAGUUUGAUCUUGGCUCAGGACGAACGCUGGCGGCGUGCUUAACACAUGCAAGUCGAGCGGUAAGGCCCUUUCGGGGGUACACGAGCGGCGAACGGGUGAGUAACACGUGGGCAACCUGCCCUCAGCUCUGGGAUAAGCCUGGGAAACUGGGUCUAAUACCGGAUAUGACCUGGCCUCGCAUGGGGCCGGGUGGAAAGUUUUUCGGCUGAGGAUGGGCCCGCGGCCUAUCAGCUUGUUGGUGGGGUGAUGGCCUACCAAGGCGACGACGGGUAGCCGGCCUGAGAGGGCGACCGGCCACACUGGGACUGAGAUACGGCCCAGACUCCUACGGGAGGCAGCAGUGGGGAAUAUUGCGCAAUGGGCGAAAGCCUGACGCAGCGACGCCGCGUGGGGGAUGACGGCCUUC
rnacentral:rRNA from 1 species